rnacentral:rRNA from 1 species
CCUACGGGUGGCAGCAGUGGGGAAUAUUGCACAAUGGGGGAAACCCUGAUGCAGCGACGCCGCGUGAGUGAAGAAGUUUUUCGGUAUGUAAAGUCCUAUUAGUAGGGAAGAAAAUGACGGUAUCUGAUUAAUAAGCCCCGGCUAACUCCGUGCCAGCAGCCGCGGUAAUACGUAGGGUGCAAGCGUUACUCGGAUUUACUGGGUGUAAAGGGCGCGUAGGCGGGAGAGCAAGUCAGGAGUGAAAUGCCGGGGCUUAACCCUAGAACUGCAUUUGAAACUGUGAGGCUAGAGUAUUGGAGAGGUAGGUGGAAUUCCUGGUGUAGCGGUAAAAUGCGUAGAGAUUAAGAGGAACACCAAUGGCGAAGGCGACUUGCUAGACUGUAACUGACGUUGAGGCUCGAAAGCGUGGGGAGCAAACAGGAUUAGAUACCCUAGUAGUC